ensembl:lncRNA
AGGUUGCCAUACCCCUUGGGAUCUUACUAGGUGCCUUUUUCUGCUCACAUGGACACAGCCAAAGAAAACCAAAAGUUUGGGUCAUCGAUCCUUCUUUCUGGGGGUUAUGGCUAAAGUGUACUAGCCUGCAGCUUAAAGGACCCUACUUUGAAAUGGGUCUGUACGUAGGAACACAGUUAAGUAAAGCCUAGAAGAGGUUUCAUGCCCAGAUACCCGGGCCUUGGGAUUUCUCAGAGCAGUGCCAGGAUCUCCCAACUUAGUGGCAUGCAUGCAUGUGCUGCCUCUGGCUAGUAUUUGGUCAUGACAUCACCAGGCUGGCUUCAGGCCCUGUCUAGAUGUAGCCUUAGACAUAUGGUAGUAUUACACUGAGAAUGGCUGUAGCUCAGUGGUAGAACAAACUGCCUGGAAAGCAGAGAGUUUGUGGUUCGAUCCCCAAAAGUAGGCAAUUGCAAGCGACUUCUAUAUCUCUGCCAAGAAAACUGCAUGGAGGUUCCCAUGCAGUCAACCAGGAGUCAACCAUGACUUGGGGGUACCCAACUGUUGCAACCAUGUUGCUACUAGUUCAUGUGCAGGGCAGCUUGCCUGCCUGUAACACGUGUACAGAGAAGGAAGCGGCCAUUUGCUGAUACCUGCGGGUAAAUUUCCACUGCUUGUAAACAACCACAUGUGGCCUUGAGCACCUCCUUUUACUCUGCCUUUCUAGAUGANGCUUAACCCUUGAGACACUCUGUAACUUUUGAUUGGUCAUUUUGAAUACUGCUUGUUAUGCUGUAACUUUGUAUUGGGUUUAAUUAGUCCUGUGACUAAUGACACCAUAAAGACCCUCCUCCCUUUGUUUGUACUCAAUAAAAGAGCUUCCCUGACUUUGGUCGGGGUCGUCUCCCCUCGAGAAAGCCUGGAGUCUGCUCUUACUUUUUCGAUGCCAAGAAACCCCCGAGCGACCCACUAGAAGUGGGAGGAAUUCCCCCAACUGGUGCCCCUCGACGUGAUCUAGCGGAAAGGACACGUCUCUUGGUACGUCCUUUACUCACCGACGGAGAAGACGUCUGCUGCACCAGGGCCGGCCGUGAGCGUACGGAGCACCCAUUUUUUGUACUAAAGAUGGUAGCCAAAUNGCUUGGAAGUUCUGUGAUGGCUGAAUAUGAUUCCCUUUCCUCCUGUGAACGGAGAAUGCUGACAUGUUUGAAUCACAUAACUUGUUAUGAGGCCUAAGUCAACAACCUGUGCCAAGUAUGCAACUGAGCCUACACUGCAGGGAGUGAGCUGUUUCAUUCCUAAAAGGAAACUGUAUCUAGGAGUCAUUGGACUUCCACAAGUAAAGAACUCUAAUCAAAGCUUACAUCCACUGAUUUAAGAGAAGAUUUUGAACAUUCUUAACCUGCAUCCAGAGAUCAUCUGAACCUUGAAGAUCAAGUACAGAAGAUUGUAUCUGCAAAGUCAUUUGUCUUUUCAAAGUUGUUGUUAUUCUAAUAUUGAAAUGCAUCUUGUUUUGAAUAUUGAACUCCCAUUGGUGGAGACCUAUGUUUUUUAUGCUUUUGAAAUGAAUCUUACAUUUUGAUUUAGAGAAUUAUAUUCUUAAAGCAGGGAUCUGCAUUGUGCAGAACUAUCUAUAAGUGCCAAGAGUGUGGAAAUAAUUAUUCAUGAACGUUUAAGGUUAAAGGUAUCAAUUGUUUNAACCAUGCUCUUGCUUUCAAAUCGAUUAUUCUUCUAUUACUUUUUCUGGGUCUUUUCUUUAUUUUCCUAGAUGAAUCCUUAGGUAACCCUUGUGUAGAAAUUACAAUGUUGCUUCUGUUUCAUAGAAUCCCUUCCUUUCUGGUUUAAGAAUAAGGUUGAAAGAUGGUAUCCCGAGGAACGUAAUCCUCUGGCGGAGGAUAG